rnacentral:tRNA from 1 species
ACAAUGGCGGUUCAGUGGUAGAAAUCUCACCUUCCAUGUGGGAGACCCUGGUUCAAUUCCUGGCUAAUGCC